GGGAAGCAGACUGAAGCCUUCGGGCGGACGUCUGUGGAACGAGCGGCGGAUGGGUGAGUAACACGUGGGCAACCUGCCUGUAAGCUCGGGAUAACUAGCGGAAACGCUAGCUAAUACCGAAUAACGCUGCGCACCGCAUGGCGCGCAGAUGAAAGGCGGCGCAAGCUGCCACUUACAGAUGGGCCCGCGGCGCAUUAGCUAGUUGGUGGGGUAACGGCCUACCAAGGCGACGAUGCGUAGCCGACCUGAGAGGGUGAUCGGCCACACUGGGACUGAGACACGGCCCAGACUCCUACGGGAGGCAGCAGUAGGGAAUAUUCCGCAAUGGGCGAAAGCCUGACGGAGCGACGCCGCGUGAGCGAUGAAGGUCUUCGGAUCGUAAAGCUCUGUUGUUAGGGAAGAACAAGUACCGGAGUAACUGCCGGUACCUUGACGGUACCUAACCAGAAAGCCCCGGCUAACUACGUGCCAGCAGCCGCGGUAAUACGUAGGGGGCGAGCGUUGUCCGGAAUUAUUGGGCGUAAAGGGCGCGUAGGCGGUCUCUUAAGUCUGAUGUGAAAGCCCCCGGCUUAACCGGGGAGGGUCAUUGGAAACUGGGAGACUUGAGUGCAGGAGAGGGAAGCGGAAUUCCAUGUGUAGCGGUGAAAUGCGUAGAGAUAUGGAGGAACACCAGUGGCGAAGGCGGCUUCCUGGCCUGUAACUGACGCUGAGGCGCGAAAGCGUGGGGAGCAAACAGGAUUAGAUACCCUGGUAGUCCACGCCGUAAACGAUGAGUGCUAGGUGUUAAGGGAGUUUCCACUCCUUAUGCUGCAGUUAACGCAUUAAGCACUCCGCUGGGGGAGUACGGCCGC
rnacentral:rRNA from 1 species